UACGAAGGGUGCAAGCGUUAGUCGGAAUUACUGGGCGUAAAGCGUGCGCAGGCGGUGAUGUAAGACAGAUGUGAAAUCCCCGGGCUCAACCUGGGAACUGCAUUUGUGACUGCAUGGCUAGAGUACGGCAGAGGGGGAUGGAAUUCCGCGUGUAGCAGUGAAAUGCGUAGAUAUGCGGAGGAACACCGAUGGCGAAGGCAAUCCCCUGGGCCUGUACUGACGCUCAUGCACGAAAGCGUGGGGAGCAAACAGG
rnacentral:rRNA from 1 species